rnacentral:rRNA from 1 species
CCUACGGGAGGCAGCAGUUGGGAAUAUUGGGCAAUGGGCGCAAGCCUGACCCCGCAACGCCGCGUGAAGGAAGAAGGCUUUCGGGUUGUACACUUCUUUUCUCAGGGACGAAGCAAGUGACGGUACCUGAGGAAUAAGCCACGGCUAACUACGUGCCAGCAGCCGCGGUAAUACGUAGGUGGCAAGCGUUAUCCGGAUUUACUGGGUGUAAAGGGCGUGUAGGCGGGACUGCAAGUCAGAUGUGAAAACCACGGGCUCAACCUGUGGCCUGCAUUUGAAACUGUAGUUCUUGAGUGCUGGAGAGGCAGACGGAAUUCCUAGUGUAGCGGUGAAAUGCGGAGAUAUUAGGAGGAACACCAGUGGCGAAGGCGGUCUGCUGGACAGCAACUGACGCUGAGGCGCGAAAGCGUGGGGAGCAAACAGGAUUAGAUACCCCUGUAGUC